CUUGUCUAACCUCAUCAAUGUCUAUCUUUGGUGACUUUUAUUAUCAUUUGUUGAAACCAUUGGAAAUCAAAUCAAUUCACAGUUCAUCUUUUGAUUUUGUCUGUUGAAUAAUUUUUGGUGUGUCUUUUAUUUUUCAUCGUUUGAUUAAUAGCAUCUAUUUAUAGUUAACCGACAAGUGAUUCUAUAACAUUUUAUGGUAAAUAAUUAGUCAUUUGAUCGCUGGUUAAAUUGUAAUGUAAACAUUUCAUCGAAACCAUUUUCCCUCCAUUUUUAUUGGUUUUCAAGUCUCUCUAAUUGUUUUCUCUCAUUAUUUUCAACUGUGACUCAAAAUGGAUAUCCUGGUAAUCUUGAUAAUCUUGAUAACCAACCUCUGGUUCAAACAAACUCUGACUCAAUUUAACGGAAAAUUGGGAUUUGUUUAAAGUCAAGUCUUUGGAUACAAUAUUUGGAUUGCUACAUUGGAGCUUCUCUAUUCUUUAAAGCUGCAACAUUGGCUAAUCCAAAUUUUGAGAUACUUCAUCUGAAAUAUUUGAAAGAAAUACUGACAACUGAAGGAUUCAAUAUAAAGCUGGAAAUCUUAAGUUCAAGGUACAGGUUAAAUUUUGAUACCUGGAUGACAAUGUGGAAACCUGAUGCGUCAUUAAUGAAGCAACUGCUUAAAAAACAUCUGUAGUUAGCUGACAACCGAUAUUUUUCUCAAUCGAUCACAAUGUAGUGAAAUAAUCACCAGCACUCAUGGUGAACAAAGCCUAUGUAAUUUUUGAUGUUUGCUGUUAGCUGAUGAUAUCAUUAAAUGUAAGUGUCAAUGGAUUAUCGCCUAUUUUUGCGCUACUGUUUAUAAUAAUACCAGAAUUUUAUACCAGAAUUACGUUAUUUAAGAAACAAAUUAGCGAACCAAGUCAGUAAUUUGUUGGUCAGUCCAUCACAUAAAGGGCUCAUUCUCAAGGAAACUAAUCAUUUUUUUGUUUGGUCAACUCAUGUUAAAAUGAAUGUUUUCCAAUUUAAUAGCAAUCCUUUAUUCAAGCAGAUCUAUAGAAUAACCCAGAGAUACUAUUCAAGAAUAGGAAUUCAAAUGAAAUUGAUAUCCCUGUAAUCUGAUGUUUUUCUCAUGCAAAUUUAUUCAUUUAUCACCAGCUACAUAACACUUUAUGAGUUUAUAAUUCACAGUCCUCAGGAUCUGUAUCACAAUUAUCACUAUCGUUGCAUAACAGCAAGCAUCAAAAUGCAAUUACGGAUGGUACAUUUAACCUAUCUAAAGGAUAUAUUGAAGGGAAUCAUCAUUGGUAAAGACAGUUUGCCUACGCUUUUUUACAUCAAAUGCGUUUUCCAAUCAAACUGAAUCCAUCAAAUCAAUCAU